CUUUAUUUUUAAAUUUUUACUUCCUCUCCAACUGCAUACCAGAGUAACUGGAGAGACUUUGACAGCCCAGGCCAGCACAGUGCCUGCAGCUGCCACUCGACUUUCCUAUACAU
rnacentral:snoRNA from 1 species